rnacentral:lncRNA from 1 species
UGCUGCAAGACAUAGGAGCUUCUGUUUGUAUAGUUGACCAUCAGUUAGAUGCUCUGCAUAUAGUGGACCACCAGUGAGAUGCUCUGUGUAUAAUGGACCAUCAGUGAGAUGCUCUGCAUAUAGUGGACCACCAGUGAGAUGUUCUAUGUAUAAUGGACCAGUAGUGAGAUUCUCUGUGUAUAGUUUACCAGAAGUGAGGUGUUUCGAUAGGAAUGAAUUCUUCUGAUUUGAAACUUAAUGUUUUCAGAAAUCAGUGCAGGAUCUGUGAUUCUGGAAGGAGACAUGGAUGAAAGUGCAAACGGCAUGUGAUGGUGCUAAUUAUGCUGCUGACGUCUGUCCAGUCCAGAGAUGGGGGAAGGGAACAGUGGUUCAACAGUGAGUUGAUCCCAUGGAGAAUUCUACCUCACACAGCGCAUGCUUCCCCCAGCACCCUCCUAACUGUCAACAGCGGUGUCUGUCAUCUGGUGGCCAGACAUCCGAACAGACUUUGCCAAUUAGAGAAGUCACACCUCUCGGUUGGCAGGCGCGUGCUAUUGUGCCUGAGACCAAGGCAGAGAGCCAUAUGGCUUUCAUGAAAAAGAUUCGCCAAGGGAGAAACAAGGGGGUGCCCCUGAGGGCAGCCUGUGUCAGAUGGGAGGCCUUUGCUGAUGAAGUUCACAGGGAGCCGAGCCAUCUGCCUGGAGACCAUAAGAAAAGUAACUGGAUGUGACCCUGGAGACAACUGAGGGAGCAGCUUCUUCCAUGGUUCUGGCCUCAGAUGAGGAUGCAAAGCUCUCAGUUCAUCUCCAGCACCAUGUCUGCCUAUGUGUCCACCAUGAUGAUAAUGGACUAAGUCUCUGAAACUAUAAGCAAGCCCCC